rnacentral:rRNA from 1 species
UGGUGGAGUGAUUUGUCUGGUUAAUUCCGUUAACGAACGAGACCCCCGCCUGCUAAAUAGUGUCGGUAAUGCUUCUGCAUUGCCGUUUCUACUUCUUAGAGGGACUUUCGGUGACUAACCGAAGGAAAGUUGGGGGCGAAUAACA